rnacentral:RNase_P_RNA from 2 species
GAAGCAAGCCAGACCGCCGCUGGUGCAAGGCUCGAAAGGGCGCACUGGAGGAAGGUCCGGACUGCACAGGGCAGCGCAGCAGCCAACGGCUGUCCACCGCGAGGUGAGGAUCAGAGCAACAGAGACGAGUCGAUGCAGGGCCCCUGACGGGGUGUUCUGUGAGCCGCCGGCGCAAGCCGGUGCCCGGUGUGGCCUGCCGCACCGGGUCGGGCGCAAGCCCGAAGCGAACAGCCACCCGAUGCGGGGCAAGGCCUGCGCAUCGGGUGAAACGGGCAAUCUCUGCGCGCAGCAAUACCAAGUAGGCCGGCGUUGAUGUGGCUCCGCAGAGCCGGCGGGUAGGUAGCACCGAGCCGUGCAGCGAUGCACGGCCCAGAGGAAUGGCGGUCACGUCCGGCGGUUCGCAAGAACCGCGGGAUGCACAGAAUCCGGCCUAUCGGCUUGCUUCACAC